rnacentral:rRNA from 1 species
CCUACGGGAGGCAGCAGUGGGGAAUUUUGGACAAUGGGCGCAAGCCUGAUCCAGCCAUGCCGCGUGCGGGAAGAAGGCCUUCGGGUUGUAAACCGCUUUUGUCAGGGAAGAAAUCCUUUGGGUUAAUACCUCGGAGGGAUGACGGUACCUGAAGAAUAAGCACCGGCUAACUACGUGCCAGCAGCCGCGGUAAUACGUAGGGUGCGAGCGUUAAUCGGAAUUACUGGGCGUAAAGCGUGCGCAGGCGGUUAUGCAAGACAGAUGUGAAAUCCCCGGGCUCAACCUGGGAACUGCAUUUGUGACUGCAUAGCUAGAGUACGGUAGAGGGGGAUGGAAUUCCGCGUGUAGCAGUGAAAUGCGUAGAUAUGCGGAGGAACACCGAUGGCGAAGGCAAUCCCCUGGACCUGUACUGACGCUCAUGCACGAAAGCGUGGGGAGCAAACAGGAUUAGAUACCCUGGUAGUCCACGCCCUAAACGAUGUCAACUGGUUGUUGGACGGCUUGCUGUUCAGUAACGAAGCUAACGCGUGAAGUUGACCGCCUGGGGAGUAACGGCCGCGAAGGUUGAAACUUCGAAAGUAGAGUUAGGCGNGNGAGAGCGACGACGACGACGACGGAGGGAGGAGG